rnacentral:rRNA from 1 species
UAGGGAAUAUUGCACAAUGGGCGAAAGCCUGAUGCAGCAACGCCGCGUGCGCGAUGAAGGCCUUCGGGUUGUAAAGCGCUUUUCGGGGAGAUGAGGAAGGACAGUAUCCCCGGAAUAAGGCUCGGCUAACUACGUGCCAGCAGCCGCGGUAAAACGUAGGAGCCAAGCGUUAUCCGAAUUCGCUGGGCGUAAAGCGUGUGCAGGCGGUCUGAUAAGUUGGAUGUGAGAUCUCCUGGCUCAACUGGGAGAGGCCGUUCAAUACUGUUAGACUAGAGGGCAACAGAGGAAGGUGGAAUUCCCGGUGUAGUGGUGAAAUGCGUAGAUAUCGGGAGGAACACCAGUGGCGAAGGCGUCCUUCUGGGUUGCACCUGACGCUCAGACACGAAAGCUAGGGGAGCGAACGG